rnacentral:misc_RNA from 1 species
CAAAGUAGGAGACCGGAAACAGGGGACGAUAUUGGGGGUUUGAUUGGUCAGGUGUUUGAUGUUCGUUUUUCCCUUUUGGGUGUUUGAAUCGUCUUUAAUAGAGAAAAUUACUACUAAUUUGGAUUUCAUCAAUCAGGACUUCAGAAUUCAUGUAAAAGAUGAAAAAAAAAAAGAAAAAAAAAAGAAUUCAUACAAUAGAUGAAUAACAAAAUUAGGAAAUACUCAUUUUUU